UAGGUGGGCUAGGACGGCGCUAUGUUUUGAACCUGGUCAGGUCCGGAAGGAAGCAGCCAUAAGAAGCCUCUAACGAGCGUCCUUGCCUACCUAGGA
rnacentral:SRP_RNA from 1 species